GGAGGGGCUAAACAUGUACAAGGAAAAAGAUAUUUACUAAAAGCAAAAUAAGGAAAAAACAAACACACACAUCUGGCGUGUGUGUGUGUGUCGCCCCAAGCAGGAGAAAAAGAGGAGAAACCCUAAAAUCCUUGAAGUUGCAAAAUUGAGAAGGGAAAUUGAAGCUAUUCAUAUGCAUGAAUCUGAAUGUGCAACCAUUUAAGCCUACUAAUCAAGUGGCAUAGGGAUCAUGUGGAAAUGGACUCAAGAACGGAAGGUUAACGGGUUAAGCGGAGGCGAGGAAGCAAGCAUGAACACUAACGCUCGAGGUAUGCAAAUAAUGGAAGUCGUAGGUUUGACACUAAAAUCCAAUGAUGGUGUUCGAAUGGAUGGAUGAAUGGAUUAACAUAAGCGAAAGCAUGAGAUGUCGACGCCUAACUAUGUUGCGUGGAUUUAGCAUCAUUAUGAAGGAUAGAAAGAUUGAAGAUCGAGUCAAGAGCAAAGGAUUGUACGGGAAAGAUCGGUCACAUAGUUUAGCAAAUGUAGGUCCGAAGUAUAAAUAUAAUGGAACGUGGUAAAUCCUUUUUAAUGAAUGUAUGACAUUUGAUAUUCGAACUUUCCUGUAAGUACUAUGUCUAUUAAAGAACGAAAUUUUUGGGUUCAUAUUUCCCGCUGUGUUGUAUUUUUUUAAGUUAUUACAAGUUAGUCUUACAGGGAAUUGUUCAUAAUACGAAUGGGUCAUGCCCGAUUUUUGUUAAAUUAUAGCAUGAUAAUAUUACUUUCGGAUUAAGAAUUUUGGGCGUUACAAGUUGGUAUCAGAGCCCUGGUUUGAGCGAAAUCAAGUAUGAGGAGGUAAAUACUUGAGCUCAAACCUGUGUGCUCUUGUGACAAGAAACCCGUACAAUCCAAGACUCGACCAAGAUCUAAGGGUAGAAGCCAAGGUAAGUAUGUCCUUAAGUAUAUAUUGGAAGAUAAUUAACAAUAUGUUAUGUGUAAGGUAAGCAUGGUUGCUUGGAAGGAAUGAUUUGUGGAUGCGGUCUAGCACCGGCACCAAGGUGAGAUUGAUGAAUGGACACGCAAUGUCAUCAAUCGGAAAGGAAUGAUCACCGUAAGAUAAGGAUGGCGAAUCAAUGGAAUCUACUUCCGUCAGAUAUCAUAGUGUGAUAAACCUAUCAAGAUCAGUGAAAGAAUUCUCAUAAGCGGCAGCUCAUUACCCGGAUGAAUGAGAUCAAUCCUGGGAUGGGUUGAAUUUGUAAUGAAGUGGUCGGUUCGCUUUCGCAGGUCGUGGCAUUAUUCCAAAAUAGUAAGGCAUAGGGAUCAUGUGGAAAUGGACUCAAGAACGAAAGGUUAACGGGUUAAGCGGAGGCGAGGAAGCAAGCAUGAACACUAACGCUCGAGGUAUGCAAAUAAUGGAAGUUAUAGGUUUGACACUAAAAUCCAAUGAUGGUGUUCGAAUGGAUGGAUGAAUGGAUUAACAUAAGCGAAAGCAUGAGAUGUCGACGCCUAACUAUGUAUGUUUAAAACUUAUGUAUGAUGUGACUGGUUGCUAACGAUGUGAUUGUAUGUGGUGUCUACAGGUUGCGUGGAUUUAGCAUCAUUAUGAAGGAUAGAAAGAUUGAAGAUCGAGUCAAGAGCAAAGGAUUGUACGGGAAAGAUCGGUCACAUAGUUUAGCAAAUGUAGGUCCGAAGUAUUAAUAUAAUGGAACGUGGUAAAUCCUUUUUAAUGAAGGUAUGACAUUUGAUAUUCGAACUUUCCUGUAAGUACUAUGUCUAUUAAAGAACGAAAUUUUUGGGUUCAUA